rnacentral:rRNA from 1 species
CAGGUUGAAGUUCAGGUAACACUGAAUGGAGGACCGAACCGACUUACGUUGAAAAGUGAGCGGAUGAACUGAGGGUAGCGGAGAAAUUCCAAUCGAACUUGGAGAUAGCUGGUUCUCUCCGAAAUAGCUUUAGGGCUAGCCUCAAGUGAUGAUUAUUGGAGGUAGAGCACUGUUUGGACGAGGGGCCCCUCUCGGGUUACCGAAUUCAGACAAACUCCGAAUGCCAAUCAAUUUAACUUGGGAGUCAGAACAUGGGUGAUAAGGUCCGUGUUCGAAAGGGAAACAGCCCAGACCACCAGCUAAGGUCCCAAAAUAUAUGUUAAGUGGAAAAGGAUGUGGCGUUGCCCAGACAACUAGGAUGUUGGCUUAGAAGCAGCCAUCAUUUAAAGAGUGCGUAAUAGCUCACUAGUCGAGUGACACUGCGCCGAAAAUGUACCGGGGCUAAACAUAUUACCGAAGCUGUGGAUUGUCCUUCGGACAAUGGUAGGAGAGCGUUCUAAGGGCGUUGAAGCAUGAUCGCAAGGACAUGUGGAGCGCUUAGAAGUGAGAAUGCCGGUGUGAGUAGCGAAAGACGGGUGAGAAUCCCGUCCACCGAUUGACUAAGGUUUCCAGAGGAAGGCUCGUCCGCUCUGGGUUAGUCGGGUCCUAAGCUGAGGCCGACAGGCGUAGGCGAUGGAUAACAGGUUGAUAUUCCUGUACCACCUAGUAUCGUUUUAAUCGAUGGGGGGACGCAGUAGGAUAGGCGAAGCGUGCUGUUGGAGUGCACGUCCAAGCAGUAAGGCUGAGUGUUAGGCAAAUCCGGCACUCGUUAGGCUGAGCUGUGAUGGGGAGAGGAAAUUGUUUCCUCGAGUCGUUGAUUUCACACUGCCGAGAAAAGCCUCUAGAUAGAUAACAGGUGCCCGUACCGCAAACCGACACAGGUAGUCAAGAUGAGAAUUCUAAGGUGAGCGAGCGAACUCUCGUUAAGGAACUCGGCAAAAUGACCCCGUAACUUCGGGAGAAGGGGUGCUCUUUAGGGUUCACGCCCAGAAGAGCCGCAGUGAAUAGGCCCAAGCGACUGUUUAUCAAAAACACAGGUCUCUGCUAAACCGUAAGGUGAUGUAUAGGGGCUGACGCCUGCCCGGUGCUGGAAGGUUAAGAGGAGUGGUUAGCUUCUGCGAAGCCACGAAUCGAAGCCCCAGUAAACGGCGGCCGUAACUAUAACGGUCCUAAGGUAGCGAAAUUCCUUGUCGGGUAAGUUCCGACCCGCACGAAAGGCGUAACGAUUUGGGCACUGUCUCAACGAGAGACUCGGUGAAAUCAUAGUACCUGUGAAGAUGCAGGUUACCCGCGACAGGACGGAAAGACCCCGUGGAGCUUUACUGUAGCCUGAUAUUGAAAUUCGGCACAGCUUGUACAGGAUAGGUAGGAGCCAUUGAAACGUGAGCGCUAGCUUACGUGGAGGCGUUGGUGGGAUACUACCCUAGCUGUGUUGGCUUUCUAACCCGCACCACUUAUCGUGGUGGGAGACAGUGUCAGGCGGGCAGUUUGACUGGGGCGGUCGCCUCCUAAAAGGUAACGGAGGCGCUCAAAGGUUCCCUCAGAAUGGUUGGAAAUCAUUCACAGAGUGUAAAGGCAUAAGGGAGCUUGACUGCGAGACCUACAAGUCGAGCAGGGUCGAAAGACGGACUUAGUGAUCCGGUGGUUCCGCAUGGAAGGGCCAUCGCUCAACGGAUAAAAGCUACCCCGGGGAUAACAGGCUUAUCUCCCCCAAGAGUUCACAUCGACGGGGAGGUUUGGCACCUCGAUGUCGGCUCAUCGCAUCCUGGGGCUGUAGUCGGUCCCAAGGGUUGGGCUGUUCGCCCAUUAAAGCGGUACGCGAGCUGGGUUCAGAACGUCGUGAGACAGUUCGGUCCCUAUCCGUCGUGGGCGUAGGAAAUUUGAGAGGAGCUGUCCUUAGUACGAGAGGACCGGGAUGGACAUACCUCUGGUGUACCAGUUGUCGUGCCAACGGCAUAGCUGGGUAGCUAUGUAUGGACGGGAUAAGUGCUGAAAGCAUCUAAGCAUGAAGCCCCCCUCAAGAUGAGAUUUCCCAACUUCGGUUAUAAGAUCCCUCGAAGAUGACGAGGUUAAUAGGUUCGAGGUGGAAGCGUGGUGACACGUGGAGCUGACGAAUACUAAUCGAUCGAAGACUUAAUCAA